AUUUGAAAUCUGGCCCCCAGGGCCCGAGUUGUAAUUUGCAGAGGAUGCUUUUGGCGCGGUGCCUUCCGAGUUCCCUGGAACGGGACGCCAUAGAGGGUGAGAGCCCCGUCUGGUCGGACGCCUAGCCUGUGUAAAGCUCCUUCGACGAGUCGAGUAGUUUGGGAAUGCUGCUCUAAAUGGGAGGUAUAUGUCUUCUAAAGCUAAAUACCGGCCAGAGACCGAUAGCGCACAAGUAGAGUGAUCGAAAGAUGAAAAGCACUUUGAAAAGAGGGUUAAAUAGUACGUGAAAUUGUUGAAAGGGAAGCGCUUGUGACCAGACUUGGGCCCGGUGGAUCAUCCAGCGUUCUCGCUGGUGCACUCCGCCGGGUUCAGGCCAGCAUCAGUUCGCCGCGGGGGAAAAAGGCUUCGGGAACGUGGCUCCUACGGGAGUGUUAUAGCCCGUUGCAUAAUACCCUGGGGCGGACUGAGGUUCGCGCUCCGCAAGGAUGCUGGCGUAAUGGUCAUCAGCGACCCGUCUUGAAACACGGACCAAGGAGUCGUCUUCGUAUGCGAGUGUUCGGGUGUAAAACCCCUACGCGUAAUGAAAGUGAACGCAGGUGAGAGCUUCGGCGCAUCAUCGACCGAUCCUGAUGUUCUCGGAUGGAUUUGAGUAAGAGCAUACGGGGCCGGACCCGAAAGAAGGUGAACUAUGCCUGUAUAGGGUGAAGCCAGAGGAAACUCUGGUGGAGGCUCGCAGCGGUUC
rnacentral:rRNA from 1 species